rnacentral:rRNA from 1 species
GACGAACGCUGGCGGCGGGCUUAACACAUGCAAGUCGAACGGAAAGGCCCUGCUUGUGUGGGGUGCUCGAGUGGCGAACGGGUGAGUAACACGGGAGUAACCUGCCCUUGACGGUGGGAUAACUUCAGGAAACUGGGGCUAAUACCGGAUAGGAGCUCGUGCUGCAUGGGGGGGGUUGGAAAGUUUCGGCGGUGGGGGAUGGACGCGCGGCUAAUCAGCUUGUUGGGGGGGUAGUGGCUUACCAAGGCUUUGACGGGUAGCCGGCCUGGGAGGGUGACCGGCCACAUUGGGCCUGCGAUACGGCCCAGACUCCUACGGUAGGCAGAAGUGGGGAAUAUUGCACAAUGGGCGGAAGCCUGAUGCAGCAACGCCGCGUGCGGGAUGCCGGCCUUCGGGUUGUAAACCGCUUUCGCCUGUGACGAAGCGUGAGUGACGGUAAUGGGUAAAGAAGCACCGGCUAACUACGUG